CCUACGGGUGGCAGCAGUGGGGAAUAUUGGGCAAUGGGCGCAAGCCUGACCCAGCAACGCCGCGUGAAGGAAGAAGGCUUUCGGGUUGUAAACUUCUUUUCUUAGGGACGAAGCAAGUGACGGUACAUGAGGAAUAAGCCACGGCUAACUACGUGCCAGCAGCCGCGGUACUACGUAGGUGGCAAGCGUUAUCCGGAUUUGCUGGGUGUAAAGGGCGGGGAGGCGGGAAAGCAAGUCAGAUGUGAACACCAUGGGCUCAACCUGUGGCCUGCAUUUGAAACUGUUUUUCUUGAGUACUGGAGAGGCAGACGGAAUGCCUGGUGUAGCGGUGAAAUGCGUAGAUAUUAGGAGGAACACCAGUUGCGAAGGCGGUCUGCUGGACAGCAACUGACGCUGAGGCGCGAAAGCGUGGGGAGCAAACAGGAUUAGAUACCCUUGUAGUC
rnacentral:rRNA from 1 species